UGGAUCACCUCCUAACAGAGAGACAAACAACGAUUUUGAUGUCUGAGUUAUUUAUUCUUAGGCCAAAAUCCUGUCACCUUAGGUCGAUCGGUACCUCAACUUUGAAGCUAAGAGAGUUCCAGCAAUGGUUGUCUGCUUAGUGGAGAUUUUUAGUUCCUAAACUUUGUCUAGUUCACAACCCAUUAGGGAUGAGACUCCUGGGCCAUUAGCUCAGGUGGUUAGAGCGCACCCCUGAUAAGGGUGAGGUCCCUGGUUCAAGUCCAGGAUGGCCCAUUCGGUGUAGGGGGUUUAGCUCAGUUGGUAGAGCGCCUGCUUUGCAAGCAGGAUGUCAGGAGUUCGAGUCUCCUAACCUCCACUGACUACCAAAAUCCCCAUCUCCAAAACCUGGAGUAUGAACUCGUAUGGAUUGUGAUUUAGAUUUGUCCGCUAGAUGACCCUAGCUUCUUGUCAUUUUAAGGCAUGGAAAUAAUUCCAUAAUUUGAUUGAUAGGAUGCUGGGCUCGAUGCAAUGUAUUGAGAGAUCAAUGCAUUGUUUUGAUGUCUAGCCGAACCUUGACAACUGCAUAGUUUAAGUCUGGAAAGAAUAAAGCAUCUUUAUGGAUACAUCAUUUUUUGUGUUAACGCAUGAAGGAGUGAUGUUAAUUCUAAAGCAAGAGCCGAGACUCCAGUAUGUUCUUUCAAAUGUGUCGAGCAUUUGAGAGUUUGAUUUUAAUUUCUAGUUUUGGGAGCUAUUUUUAGUGUCUGACUUUAGAAAUUAGAAAAAUCUGUUUCAACAACAGCAAGCGUGCUGGAGAUACAUUGGUCAAGCUACAAAGGGCUCACGGCGGAUACCUUGGCACACAGAGGCGAUGAAGGA
rnacentral:tRNA from 1 species